rnacentral:rRNA from 1 species
AGAGUUUGAUCAUGGCUCAGGAUGAACGCUGGCGGCGUGCCUAAUACAUGCAAGUCGAGCGGUAAGGCUCUGCACUUAUUAUUUUAUCGAGGUAGCUUGUCUACCAGAGCAAACCAACUCAAACCUAGGCUAGGGGAGACGCGGCGAGGGAGAUUGAAUAAUGGGUGUAGAGUACACGAGCGGCGGACGGCUGAGUAACACGUGGGAACAUACCCCAAAGUGAGGGAUAAGCUCUGGAAACAGAGUCUAAUACCGCAUGUGGUCUAAGGAUUAAAGCUUCGGCGCUUUGGGAAUGGCCUGCGUUCGAUUAGCUAGUUGGUGAGGUAAUAGCUCACCAAGGCGACGAUCGAUAGCUGGUCUGAGAGGAUGAUCAGCCAGACUGGGACUGAGACACGGCCCAGACUCCUACGGGAGGCAGCAGUAGGGAAUUUUCCACAAUGGGCGAAAGCCUGAUGGAGCAACGCCGCGUGCAGGAUGAAUGCCUUCGGGUUGUAAACUGCUUUUAUAUGUGACGAAUAUGACGGUAGCAUAUGAAUAAGGAUCGGCUAACUCCGUGCCAGCAGCCGCGGUCAUACGGAGGAUCCAAGCGUUAUCCGGAAUUACUGGGCGUAAAGAGUUGCGUAGGUGGCAGAGUAAGUAAAUAGUGAAAUCGUGUGGCUCAACCACAUACCCAUUAUUUAAACUGCUCAGCUAGAGGAUGAGAGAGGUUAUUGGAAUUCCCAGUGUAGGAGUGAAAUCCGUAGAUAUUGGGAGGAACACCGAUGGCGUAGGCAGAUAACUGGCUCAUUCCUGACACUAAGGCACGAAAGCGUGGGUAGCAAACGGGAUUAGAUACCCNNGUAGUCC